rnacentral:lncRNA from 1 species
CAUAUUACCGACGGCCUUCAGUCCUUUGGUAAGUUUCAUUUACCAAUGGCUUUUCCGACGACUCUCAUUAAGUUAUUUGUUGACGAUCAUGAACUGGUCACAUAACAUACCAACGAUCUUUAGCCUUCCGUAAUGUUCGCAAUAGUUAAAUUGUCGAAUUGAUAUUCGUUCCCAUUUACUCAGAACUUUCCCAAUUUCCCUCCCUUUAACCCUCGUCUCCAGGUCCCCUUCCCUUUCCUUCCCCAUUGCACCCG